rnacentral:lncRNA from 1 species
UUUUUUAAUGACUCAGGUUUUCGGCAGCUUAUCUGAGUUUGACUAGGCUCGUCGGUCUUACAGUUUCUGAAAAUCGGGUUAACUUAAAGUUUUUUCGCGGAUAAUCCCAAUUUUGGUUUGAUGGUACAUCCCAAUAGAGGACGACCAUACUUGUUCAAUUUAUCUCUCUCAACUUGGAUCCCAUGAGGUGGGCCUUGGAAAGUUUUGGAAUAAGCAGGAGGAAUUCGCAAAUCUUCCAGACGUAGAGCUCGUAGAGCUUUAAACCCAAAUACAUUACCUACAAUGGAAGUAAACAUGUUAGUAACAGAACCUUCUUCAAAAAGGUCUGUCGGAUUAUCAUCUUACCUUUCGAGAUUUCUGUCUCGUGUACACUUGGGGCUUUUCUUUUU